rnacentral:miRNA from 1 species
GUGGUCCCCAACCCAGUCCACAUGGGCCACCAACAGUCCAGGAUUUACGUAUUUCCCUUUUAUUAUUCAAAUGUAGAUACUGACAAAAACUGGACUGUUGGUGGUCCAUGGGGACUGGGAUGGGGACCU